GCUGGCUAAAGCUUAUGUGGGUGUUAACGACUCUGGUUACCAUCAGCUUAUUAGCCAUUUUUUGAACACUCAUGCUGUAAGUGAACCAUUUGUGAUUGCAACAAAUAGACAACUCAGUGUGCUUCACCCGAUCUAUAAACUCUUGGAACCUCACUUCCGCGAUACAAUGAACAUAAAUGCGCUAGCUAGGCAGACACUAAUUAAUGCUGGUGGAAUCCUGGAAUCAACAGUUUAUCCUGCAAAAUAUGCCAUGGAAAUGUCAUCGGUAAUUUAUAAGAACUGGAAUUUCACUGAGCAAGCACUUCCUGAAGAUCUGAAGAAGAGGUAACCUUCGUAGUUUACUCUUAAAAGGAUAAUUCAUAGUUGUUCACAAUUUUCAAGACUUCAGGAACUAAAACUUCAGUAAAUGAUGUUAUAAUGCUUUAGGAAUUUAAACUUUGGUUAUAUUCGGUGAUAAUGUUGUAUUUCAUUGCAAUAACAUCCUACCUUGUUUGUUCAGAGGAGUGGCAGUUGAGGAUCCAAAGGCUCCACACGGUGUUCGCCUGCUGAUAAAAGAUUACCCAUAUGCAGUUGAUGGGCUAGAGAUAUGGUUUGCAAUCAAAGAAUGGGUAAAAGACUACUGCUUUUUCUACUACAAGGAUGAUGACAUGAUUCAAAAAGAUUCUGAACUACAAUCAUGGUGGAAGGAAGCGAGAGAGGAAGGGCAUGGUGACCUGAAGGAUGCACCCUGGUGGCCAAAGAUGAAGACUCGUGAAGAGCUAAUAGAUUCAUGUACCAUAAUCAUAUGGGUGGCAUCUGCUCUCCAUGCAGCUGUCAAUUUUGGUCAGUACCCUUAUGCAGGAUACCUUCCCAAUCGUCCAACCAUAAGCCGUAGGUUCAUGCCUGAAGAAGGCUCUCCUGAUUAUGAGGAGCUAAAGUCGAACCCUGAAAAGGCUUUCUUGAAAACAAUCACUGCCCAGUUGCAAACACUUCUUGGAAUUUCCCUCAUUGAAGUUCUGUCAAGGCAUUCCUCAGAUGAGGUGUAUCUUGGGCAGCGAGACACUCCUGAAUGGACAGCAGACAAAGAGCCAUUAGAGGCGUUUGAGAAAUUUGGAAAGAAACUGGCAGUUAUCGAGGACAGGAUGUUCGAUAUGAACAAAGAUGUGAACCUGAAGAAUCGUGUUGGCUCAGUCAAGGUGCCAUACACUCUGUUGGUUCCUACCAGUGAAGGUGGACUCACUGGAAGGGGAAUUCCUAACAGCGUUUCAAUCUAAAGCUUCUCUACAAGACUAUUUAUUGUACUUUAAUAUCAUUAAUUUCUUGAUACGAAGGUUCUUUGUAACUAAUGAGUUUAAGCAUUUUUAAUCACCAAUAUCUGUAAUUCUUGUUGUAUGCUUCAAGGCACAUAUGUCUUGAUGUAAUAAAUUUAUAAAUAAUGAUGAAAACUAGUUCUUGUUGCUGUUCUAAUGUUUUUCAUAACUUAAACCCGUUAGACUCUGCAACGCAGAAGAGAUUCCUGCGUGGCUAAACUUAAAAAACUGAGAAGGGAGAGACCUUACUGAUUGAUCCUCCUAUUACAACUUACUCCUACAAUAUAUGUUUUUGUUUCCCUUCAAUUUCUGUUGUUGAAGAAAGUAAGCCCUAAAAGAGUCUGUUUUCAGUUUAGUUAGAUGAGGCUUCUAGCUUUCCAGGCCUUUCACUUUUGUUAAUUUCUUCAAAUUUGAUGAUGUCCAAGUCUCUUACCUUCAUGAAACAUGCUUAGCUUGCUGUUUAACACAGAAUUCAAAACCAGAAAACUGAUGAGUCUCUAAGCAUCUAAUCUAUAUAUUACUCUUUUAUUUCAUGUUAAAUAAUAAAUAUCCAAAAAAAUCUUCAAAUCUUGAUAAAUAAAUUAUAAAUAUCUAAUUCUUUAACCAUAAUAAAUAAAAUAUAAAUGCAAUAAAAAUUUGAUACGUGAGUAUCAUUAUCAUUGUGAUUAAUCCCUGCUGUUAUUUUGUACUUAUUUUGUGAUGAAUAUAAUAUAAAUAUAAUAGAAAACUGGACUUCUUUCUUAUUUUGUACUUUCCUCCGCUGCACAUCUCUUCAAGUUAUGAUAAAAAAAAAAUGGUAGCUUUGUAAAAAUGAUCAUAUUUAUGAUAAGCCUAGGACAUAUUUUUUAUAAAAUAAAUUAUAUGAAAUUUUAUAAAAUUUUAAAAUAUUUUUCAAAAACCAAUAAUAAUUCAUAAUACUUAUAAAAAUCUAAAUUUUAAAUAAAACAGUAUAAUAAUUGAGCACUCUAAAACAUCAAAUCAAGACUAAAAAAAAUCUCGCGAAAACAAAUAAGACAUGCCAAUUAAAAAUAAGAAAGUAUGAACACUCAAUAAAGUCUACUUGUUAAUAAAAGCUAAGAACCUAAAAAUAAUAUCAAAAUAGAAAUGUGAAUUCAACCAACUAUAACAUUAAAUAUACUUCAUAAAUAUUAUAAAUUGUGUGUGUAUAUAUAUAUAUAUAAUAUGAUAGUAGAAUAUAUUUCAGAUAAUAGAUAAUAGACAAAACCUUAAGCUUCCAAUAACAAACAAGGUCUGCGACCUUAAUCAUUAUAAGAGGUUAAUCACCAAAGGCUAGUGUCCCUCUUACUUAUAUAAAUUACUAUAUAUACAUAUACUAAAUACUCUAUAUUAAUAUGAAGUUAUUGGCAAGGAUAUCAAUAUCUAGACUUAAUAGAUAUUUACAUUUAUAUAUGUAUAUCAAAGUAAACAAACAAUAUAUCAAAUAGAAUUAAACCAACAGAAAACGAAUAUAACUCGAAGUAAAUAAUAUAAAAGAUUACAACUCUAAGAUUACAAGACAAAAUGUAAUUAUAAAAUCAAAACAAAUCCACAUGAUCGAUCUAAACAUUUCCCAAACUGACCAAACUUUAAAGAACCGAUCAACCUCCACUGCUCAGUUAACCAGUCGACUGAAAUUGACCAAUCAAUCGACUAAAAUUAUUAAGCCAAUCGGUCAACCAAUUCAGACAAAUUAAUCAACUAGUUGAUCGGGAUCUCAAAAUCCUAAUCUGCUGAUCUUCCAAAACUACAUAUCUUUAAAAAUUCAAUACGUUAGUAAAAAGCCAUAUCUCCAAUCCCAUAUCAAUUUAUUUAAGUCAAAUUAACACCAUAAAAUAUUAAUUAAACAUCUUAAAUCAUCGUAGAAUCAAACAUAAAAACAUCAAGAUUUUACCUUAGAAACCUUAUCUACAACUUUCACUUCUUUCCUUUUCUUCUUCCUUCCUCUUCCUCUUUCCUUCUUUCUCUGUUCUUCUUUCAGUUCUGUCUCUCUCCCUUCAGUAGUUUUUGGUUUCUUCUUUCUCUCUUUUGUUUUCCCAUUUAUAUAUAUAUAUAUAUAUAUGUAUAUAUCAAAUCAUGUGAAUUGUCUAAUUUACUCAUGAAUCAUUAAUACCUGUAAUAAUAUACACAAGAGCACCAUUGAUUUUUUCAAAUCCAUUUUAUUUUUAUUUUGGGUAUUACGGAUCCAGAGAAGUAUUCAUCUAUACAGAUGCCCAAUUGCCUUUCUUUUAUUGGAUUAUUUUUUUAUUCCAUUCGAGGUCUCAGUGUUAUAUAUUUGUAUAUUUCCUCAUCAGAUCAAGUUGAAUCAGAUAUAAUGUAAAUUAACACAGUCAAAAUCUUAAAAAAAACAAAAAACAAUGAGGUUCAUGUGGGCUUCUAUAGUACCUGUCCUUGUAAGGAGUAGGUCAGUAAUUCAUGAACGUAUUAAAUGACUAGAGACAGGAUGGUUUCGUAUGAAACGAAGACUUGAGCACAAAAAGUCUUCCUUUCCUGAUAAAAUGCAAUAACUAGAGCAAGCUGCAAUAUGAACAAAUGAAGCUGCGUGUUCUUUACCAUAUGUGUAGUCCCUCUCUAUAAAUACUACCACACAACCGUUCCCUUGACUCGCAUUACAUUGUUUUCUAAAGCCACCUGUAGAUUGAACUCUUUGUUCAGCACCAAGAAGUGAGCAACAGAAGAGAGGAAAAGAAAUGUUUCAGAACAUUAUUGAUGCCAUCACUGAUUGUUGUACAGGGGACUGUAAAAAGAAGAUAAGAGGCACUGUUGUGCUGAUGAAGAAGAAUGUUCUGGACUUAACUGAUUUAAAUGCUUCGAUUCAUGAUCGUGUUCAUGAGUUUUUAGGCCAAGGAGUCUCUCUGCAACUCGUCAGUGCUGUUAACAGUGACCCUUCAGGUACAUACACCAUCUGUUCUUCUUCUAUCAUUUUGUUGCUUUUUCAUUACUUGAUGCCUUUUCAGCCCUAAAAGGCCAUUUUUCUUUGUUCUUUUUGGGUGGGAUAUGUUCUUUUUUCCUGGAUCGCUGUAUAGGAGAUUAAUUAAAAACACCUAGAAUUAUGGAACAAGGAAAAGAUAAAAAAAUAAAAAGCCAGAGGAGAGAGUAUAAGCCAUAUACCAGAAAGAAACCAACAAAAUUUGAUCCUAGCAGUAUCUAUCAUGUAGGCUGCAAAUCAUGACUCGUUUUGCCAUAAAAAUUACUAAAAUGCGAAACACACUAAUUUGUGAGCUGCCUGUAGUCUGGUGUUUAUACAAGUUCUGCUCCUUCAAGCACAAAAAAGGAAGUGAUGGACUGGUGAUUUAGUAUUGAUUAAUCAAAUUACUUGUCAUAAAUCAAUUAGCUCCUUAAAAACCAAACAGAUCAUGGACAUGAACUUGGUUCCUCGUAUCUGAUGAAAGCCUUUGUGGAUAUUCUCCUACUGAUUGGUAUUGGGUGGUCUCCUGGGGUGCUUGGUGGCCUAGUUGUUGAUAAGUCUUCUGGCUCCACAACCCCAUCUGACUUUGCGGUUUGAAAAAAAUGAUGUUUAAGGUUUUUUUUUUAAAAAUAAAUAAAUCAAAAUUUGAGUUUACAUGGGUAAACUUACCUGUACGUAACCUGGGGCUACCUUCCAUUUGUCUGAUUCAGCUGGAUGCACUAUGUUUUAGUGAUUAUGACAAGCAUAUACAAUUAAUUAAAGAUGACGUUGGCUUUCAACAAGCCACAAGCCACAGCCUACCCUGAAAGUGAAUCAUCGUAGUGAAACAUCGUAGUGAAAUAUCUUGAUUUUCAUGGUCACUAUUGACCUUAAAAUCCAGCCUUGGUUAUCUAUAAAGAACUUCAACUUGAAAAUGUUGACUGGUCAUAAUUGUAGCCCAUCAUUAUAAUUGUUACUGUAGACCUGCAAUUUCCUAAGAUUGCACUGUUAGCUAACUGAUGUGGAUUUUGAUGCCCCUUUGUAGCGAAUGAUUUCAAAGGGAAGCUAGGAAAACCUGCAUAUUUGGAAAAAUGGAUCACUACAGUCACUCCCUUAACAGCAGGCGAGACGGCAUUCAAAGUUACCUUUAAUUGGGAUGAGGAGAUUGGAAUUCCAGGGGCGUUGCUAGUAAAAAAUAAUCAUCAGAGUGAAUUCUACCUUAAGACUGUCACACUUGAAGGUGUUCCUGGCCUAGGCCGAGUCCAUUUUGUUUGCAAAUCGUGGAUUUAUCCUGCAAAACAUUACAGUAAACCUCGUAUUUUUUUCACUAACAAGGUAUAUAAGUAACCAUAAAAGGCUGAAGGUAGUUGUAGAUGUUAUCCUGAGCUAACGUUUUUGAUACAUUUGAUAGACAUAUCUGCCAGACAAGACACCAGCACCGCUUCGUAAGUACAGGGAAGAAGAACUGUUUCUUUUGAGAGGAAAUGGAGAAGGAGAGCUUAAGGAAUGGGAUCGCGUCUAUGACUAUGAUUUUUACAAUGAUUUGGGAUCUUCUAAGAAGGGUUCAGAGUAUUUCCGUCCUGUUCUUGGUGGCUCUUCGGAGUACCCUUAUCCUCGUAGGGGAAGAACAGGCCGCAAAAAAGAAGGUCAUCAUCUGGUUGAGAAUCUCAAUAAUGUCAUCAAUGGAAAUCAGAUUUUUUUACUGUUUAAUUGUGUUUUUAUCCUUCUUGUCAUUUCUAAAGUUGUUCGAUGAUCUUGUUAUCUUAAGCAGAUCCCAACACCGAGAGCAGGCUGCCACUUCUGAAGAGCUUAAGCAUAUAUGUUCCGAGAGAUGAACGAUUUGGUCAUCUGAAGUUGGCAGACUUCCUUGCUUAUGCACUGAAAACCGUAGCUCAAGUUGUUAAAAAUGGAGUGGAUACAUUUGUUGACACCACCCCUAAUGAGUUUGACUCUUUUGAUGAUGUAUUGAAACUCUAUGAGGGAGGAUAUGAGCUGCCUCAUGUUCCUCUAUUAGAUAACAUCAGGAAAAUCUUUCCCUUGGAGUUUCUUGAGGAAAUUUUCCGAACUGAUGGGGAACGUUUUUUCGAAUUUCCAAAGCCUCAAGUGAUUAAAGGUUUGAACUUAAACAUUUAACUCUUAUGUUUGGGCAUACAUUUACCUAUCUCUUUUUCUGACUACUUAGAUAUGAUAUGUUACACAGAUAAUCAUUCUGCUUGGAGGACUGAUGAAGAAUUUGGCAGAGAAAUGUUGGCUGGAGUAAACCCUGUUCUCAUUCGUCGUCUUGAGGUACACGGAAGUUCUAAUAAAUAUUUCUGUUUGGAAAGUUUAUCAAGACAAAGAACCAUUUGGGAGUUUAUGGAUUACAGAUCUUCUCAUUCUUUGUUUCGAAUAAUAUUCAUUGGAACACAGGAAUUCCCCCCGAAAAGCAAGCUAAAUAGAGAACUAUAUGGUGACCAAAAUAGUAAGAUAACUGAGGAGCACAUACAGAAUAGUCUGGAUGGACUGACCAUCGAUGAGGUAAUGCUCUAUCUCUAUUAGUUUCUUUGACAAUUGAGUUUACAAAUCCGAUCGCGGAUUCUUCACAGACGGAACUGCUGAGUUUAAUCGCCUAGAAAAAACAAUUUUAGCUAAAAGAGUGUUUGUUGUAUAGGCAAUCAGGAACAACAGGAUGUUCAUAUUAGAUCAUCAUGAUGCAUUGAUGCCAUAUCUGAGGAGGAUAAACUCUACUUCCACAAAGACUUAUGCCACAAGAACUCUGCUUUUCUUGAAAGAUGAUGGAACUUUGAAGCCACUUGCAAUUGAGUUAAGCUGGCUUCAUGAAGAGGGAUAUAAAUAUGGAUCCAACAGCGAAGUCUACACCCCAGCUGAAACUGGUGUUGAAAGUUCCAUUUGGCAGCUGGCUAAAGCUUAUGUGGGUGUAAACGACUCCGGCUAUCAUCAGCUUAUCAGCCACUGGUAUGCUUCGGCAAAGAAAAUCAACUACUACAAGAAAAAAUAUUGAUGCAGUUGAUUAAUUAAUUUCUGUUUCUAAAUUUUCUUGUUUUUGUAACAGGUUGCAUACUCAUGCAGUAAUGGAGCCAUUUGUGAUUGCAACAAAUAGGCACCUCAGUGUGCUUCAUCCGAUAUAUAAACUUCUGGAACCUCACUUCCGGGACACAAUGAACAUAAAUGCACUCGCAAGGCAGAUCCUCAUCAAUGCUGGCGGAUUUCUGGAAUUGACAGUUUAUCCUUCGAAGUAUGCCUUGGAAAUGUCAUCAUCACUUUACAGAAGCUGGGAUUUCACUGAGC
rnacentral:lncRNA from 1 species